rnacentral:sRNA from 1 species
UAAGGAGAUUACCUUCUCUAGAAACCUGCUCAGCCAGCUCCUGAUGGAGAACACAUGUAGGAAGAAGUUGGUCCCACUGAAGCAGGAGAGCAAGGAGGUACAUCUUGAUUGUGCACUGAACCAGAAAUAUUUGGUUGAGUUCAACAAGAAAGAUAAAGAACAUCAACGGCCAGAACCAGCAUUAUCAGGUCUCAGAAAGUGCAAGCGAGCUGGAAUUGGACACACACCAGUAAGAGAGCUUCCUGAAGAGUAAGUUGCUUUCUCAGGAGUCCCUGAUGACCAACAUCCUGAAUGAAAACAGCACUUGAGAGACAACUUGGGGGACCGCCUUUCAUUAUGUGUGCUAGAGGAGAAACAGCAAUACGUCUGUGCUUCUAAAUGUUCGUUAAGAAUAUGCUUUUAGAAAUAUUUUUGUUAUGAUUUUAAUUGAAGUUUUCUUUUUGUUGUUUCAUAUUUAUAUGUUCUUGUUA